UGGAGCUGAACCAAGCAAUACAACCUGUCCAUUGCGAUCUAAGGUUCGCCAAAUUGCAUGCUUUAUGAGAUGGAUUCCUUUCUGAUGUGUUAGGCGAGUGAUAAUCCCUACUAAAGGGAGAUCAGCUUUCUUUAAACCAAGCCUUUGCUGCAACGCCUCCUUGGCUGCUCUUUUGCCUUCAACAACAUUCUCAGAUGUGUAGGAAACAGGAAUGAACUUGUCAUUAUAAGGAUCCCAUAUGUCUGGAUCAAUUCCAUUCAGUAUUCCAUGGAAUUUGUAGAGAUAAGGAGCAAUUGGAGGAUUUCCAGCAACCUCCUUUGAAUAUGUGGGGGACACAGUUGUAGACUUGUCAGAAUAUGCCAUAGCUUUCCCAAUGUUUCCUGCCCCCAAAUUCAAGCUUGUGAAAUGAAACGUGAAGUCAGAAUAUGCCAUAGCCUUCCUAAUGUUUCCUGCCCCAAAUUCAAGCUUGUGAAACGUGAAGUCAUGAAGACAACCUGAACUUUACUAAGACCAUAGUGCAUAUAAUGGUCCUUGAACAACCAUGCAACUUCAGCUCUAGACCAAUCAUGACAAUGGAUAAUAUCAGGAUGGAAUCCAUUUUGUAGUAAAAACUCAAGAGCUGCAUGACAAAAGAAACCAAACCGCUCCCCAUCAUUCCGGCAGCUGUAUAUGCAACCAGUCGAAAACAUCCCAUUCAGAGGCUCCAAAAAGUAGACAGAAAGGCCUUCCACCUUCCCAAACCAUAAUUUUAUUUCUGUCCCACCCCAGGAAUAGCUUUUCUGAUAAUGAAAGUCCUUUGCCUAUUUCAGGACAUGCACAUCUGAUGAAUUAGAAUUCAUUAAAAAUUCGGAUCACAAAAAAACAGAAAGCAUUGUGGUUAAUUACUCAAUAAAUCUACUUCAUUUUUCUCAAUGAUAUGCCACAAUCAAUGGUAGGCCUACGUACCUAUUCAAUUACAUAAUUAAUGGUUAUUACUACAGAACAAGUGACAUACUAGAAAUAACAAAAAAAGCACAUGCUUAGAAACAGACAUACUUUGGCAGCCGCACAUGCAGAAAAGUGUCACAUGAUGAAAAGGAGGCAUUUUAAAAGAAAAUUUUUUCCUGCAUAGGAUUAAGAAUUAUCAUAGUUUUCGAUUAAAUAUUGAAUAACAAUUUGUAUAUUAAUAAUCUCCAUGAGAUGGGCCCUCAAGGGAGACAUUUAAAUGGUCACAUAUAGGUCUUACAAUUUCUUCCAUCUGCACUUCCAACAGGAGAGAGAGAAAGUUAAAAUUUCUACAGUAAAGUAGCAACAAUGAAGCUUACAUGGCUAAGGUUCAAACAGUCAUACUUUGGAAGAAUGAUAUCCACACUGUGAUUUAAAUCUUGUACAGCACGGAAGAGACUAGUAACAACAUCACUGAGCCCUCCAACCUUUGCAACUGGGGCCAUUUCAACAGCAACAUGCACAAUGCGCAUUGGGGGCUCCUUCACAACUCCUCCAAACACAGGUAUGUGGCAAUCCAUGCCAUCUCUAUUGUAAAAAAUUCCACCAUCUUCCCUCUCCGAGAAUACAAAAUCCAUCAUGUAUGCAUCUAAUGGUACCUUGACUGGGAAAAAUACCAUAAAUUGAAAGAUUUUUUAAAAAUAUUUGUCCUGAAGUACAUCUAUAAAUUCAUAUAUCAAAAUUUGACUCAUCUGACAAGACAGGGAAAAAAAAGAGAGAGAGAGGGAAGGUGGCAUAUCACAGAUAAGAUAAUCCUCUCAUGAUCAUUGCGAAGAAGGGGCCUUGUGCACUGCAGACACUAUUUUUUGAUAGAACAUAAAUGCAAAUUGAUUUUACCUAUAUGAUUUAGCAUCACAUUGUACACCUAACAAACUUGCCAACAGAUGAUUGAUCGACCUUCCUAAGGAGCAACAAACUAAAAGCCUAAAACAACAAGUGGAUAAAGGAUAUCUCAUCUGCAUGUUGGUUAUGAAUGAAAUAAAUUUGAAAUAAUGUAAUCUAUGAACAAUAUAAUAAUACUUGGUGUCGAUAUGGUGUCGAUAUCAAGAAAAAAGUCCACUUUGAGACAUCAAAAAACCACCUAACUUUUGAAGUUCACACAAAUCAGGAAAAUAAGAUAAGAGAAUGACUACCAUAGAAGUUAAACCUGAAUAGAGUACCUUGUAAGGAAAAAAAAGGGGAGAGAGAGACCACCAUAAAUAAUUACAUAUAAAAACAAGCAAUAAUAACACCACGCUAAUCAAAAUAAAGACAUUGUUAUGCUAUAAAUUUGCCAAGGUAAAAAAUAACUAGAAUUAAAACUUGCCAGUGGAUUUGAUAUGAGAAGCAUUAUCUGGAGGCAACAUCUUCUGAGGUGGCAAAGGACCGUUGUGGUGGGUCCAACGGUUAAAUGAACAUCUGAUCCAAACUUCUGAUUUACCAUUCAGAACAGUGUUAGCAGGAUUAUAGAAAACUGUCACAGCACUUCCAGCCUGAACAUCAAGAGGAUCAAUAUAGACUACUUGCUUUUGAGACAACAGAAACCUUUUCAAAGUUCUCUCCUUUCUUUCAGCUUUCAUACGUGCUGUUCUUUCCACCUUGGCACAUAUAGCCUCCUCUCUUAACGGCCGCUCCUCCUGUAGUUUCCUAUAUAUCUGGUGUUCUUCCUCAACCCAAAACAAUUCUUCAGGAAUGGACUUUGGGACAAUUGCAUGGAAAUCUUGGUAAUGAUUGUUAUCAUAUACAAUUGCACUCUGAGGUGGACCAUCAGCAAAGACCCAAUCCAAAACAAGGGCUCGAUCCGGUACAACAACAUUACCAUACCACCAGUCACCAUCCUUUCUCUCAGAUUUAGCAAGCUUUUCCGCAAUGACCAAUCCAUCAUUCCAAUUAUUAUAUCCCCCAUGAAUCCAAAGGUCAUUAGCAUGAGCGAGAGGACCUGAGCUUUUGUUAUAAUAUAGCCGGACCAAGUCAUCACCGCUAAACUCACUAGGCUCAAUAUACCAAACAUUAUCAACAGAUCUUGCAACAUUUUUCAUCAACUGGUGCAAUAUUUCUCGCCUCUUUUCAGUUUCCACCUUUGCCUGGGCUUUAUCAGCUUCGCUUGCAGCCUUCUCUUCUUCUCUUUGCCUCUUCUCUUUUGCUUCUCUUUCUCUCUCAACUUGCUCCCUUGAAACUUUCUCUAGCUCCCUAAGUUUUUCCUCAAGCAAGAAAUCAUCAAAUGCAAAUGCAUCCAUUCCACCUUCUACAGGUAUUCAGAAAUCCCUUUUUUCAUUAUUGUCAUAUGCAUUUUUCCCAUUAAAGAACACAAAAUCUAUCGUUUAUGCUUCUUUUGGAACAUGAACCUGGCAAGACCACCAAUCCCCUUUCUAAUGAGUUAUGUUUAACCUUAUGGUAAAAGAUUUCCAUUUCCGGUCAUUGAAGGCUCCCAUAAUGAAAACAUCUGGCUCAUUAUUCAGAGUGGAUAGACUCCUAUUAAGGUAUAGUUCUAUAUCUUGAUAAGAUUUCACCAACUCGGGAUAAACAAACAAUUUGCUACCCCUUGAGAAGUUAUCCUCAGCAAGCCCCUCAAUUUCUCGUUUCCGCAAGUUUUCUUCCAUUUCCAACCUUAAUUUUUGAGAAGAAUCUUCAGUUGAUUUUUCAUCAGUCCCAGCACUUUCCCCUUUUACAGUGAUAUCAUUCUUUGAGCUGCCAAACUGCCUUUCCGCUAUAGUAAUUUCAUCAACUGGCCCAGUCAUAUCCUCAACACUACUAACAGUUCCAUUUUCCAUACCUUGAUUGCUUUUGGCAACUGACACCUUUUUGCUAAUUGAUGAUGCUUCUUCUGUUAGCUUUUCUUUUUUAACUUUCUUAUCCUUGGUAAGUUCAAUUGAUUGUUCUUUAUCUAUAUCAGCUUUAAUUUCAAGUGUUUGCUUGUUGGGAUCCACAAUCUCACUAGAUGCUGAAGUAUUGUUCUUAGAAUCCCUCUUUUGGAGGCCUGCUCUUGCUGACGUUUUUGGUUUGAAUCCUUUUGGAGUAGGCCCUCCAGACUUUGCAGUUGAAAUUUUCCUAUUUCUCCUCUUGGAAAAGUCUGCACCAGCAAUAACGUCAAAUGAAACCCCACGUUUUGGGUACCUGUUGCCACAUGAAGUAAGACUGGUAAAAUGGCUGGUUUUAACAUGAGGGAAAGACCCAAGAAACGCCUUGAUCUUGAAAAGGGUUCUCUCGUGAAAGACAGCUCUGCAACUGAGUGGUCUAUGCACCUGGAACUGCAAACCCACUUCCAUGGUUGACAGGAUUAUACUACUAACUCAGUAUCGUAAAAAGUCAGGAAUGUUUGCCGCCAAGAACAAGCUUUCACUUCAAAGAUGAGCUUCACUCACCAUUGAGGAUCGAUGUCUCUCUG
rnacentral:misc_RNA from 1 species